rnacentral:rRNA from 1 species
AACAGGAUUAGAUACCCUGGUAGUCCACGCCGCAAACGUUGGGCGCUAGAUGUAGGGACCUUUCCACGGUUUCUGUGUCGUAGCUAACGCAUUAAGCGCCCCGCCUGGGGAGUACGGCCGCAAGGCUAAAACUCAAAGGAAUUGACGGGGGCCCGCACAAGCGGCGGAGCAUGCGGAUUAAUUCGAUGCAACGCGAAAAACCUUACCAAGGCUUGACAUACACCGGAAACGGCCAGAGAUGGUCGCCCCCUUGUGGUCGGUGUACAGGUGGUGCAUGGUUGUCGUCAGCUCGUGUCGUGAGAUGUUGGGUUAAGUCCCGCAACGAGCGCAACCCUCGUUCUAUGUUGCCAGCGCGUUAUGGCGGGGACUCAUAGGAGACUGCCGGGGUCAACUCGGAGGAAGGUGGGGAUGACGUCAAAUCAUCAUGCCCCUUAUGUCUUGGGCUUCACGCAUGCUACAAUGGCCGGUACAAAGGGCUGCGAUACCGUAAGGUGGAGCGAAUCCCAAAAAGCCGGUCUCAGUUCGGAUUGAGGUCUGCAACUCGACCUCAUGAAGUCGGAGUCGCUAGUAAUCGCAGAUCAGCAACGCUGCGGUGAAUACGUUCCCGGGCCUUGUACACACCGCCCGUCAAGUCAUGAAAGUCGGUAACACCCGAAGCCGGUGGCCUAACCCUUGUGGAAGGAGCCGUCGAAGGUGGGAUCGGUGAUUAGGACUAAGUCGUAACAAGGUAACC